rnacentral:misc_RNA from 1 species
GCACCAAAUUGGAGGGAGUCGAGAGUUAGGGACGGAGCGAGAGAAGAUGAGCUACGUAUUAACGACGCUGACGAAGAAGAAGGAAAUAGACUCUAUAAUCAGAGAGACCAUCGACAAGGUUCUCGUCCUCCGCUUUGGCCGUGCAUCCGACGCCGGCUGCCUUCACCUCGAUGACCUGCUAUCGAAAUCUGCUCGAGAGGUUUCCAAAUUCGCAAAUAUAGCUUUAGUAGAUAUAGACUCGGAGGAUGUUCAAGUUUACAUCAAAUAUUUCGACAUUUCUUUGAUUCCUUCUACCAUUUUUUUCUUCAAUGCUCAUCAUAUGAAGAUGGAUUCCGGGACUGCUGAUCAUACUAAAUGGAUUGGUGCAUUUCACACGAAACAAGAUUUCAUUGAUGUAGUGGAGGCUAUAUUUAGAGGGGCAAUGAAAGGCAAAAUGAUUGUGAAUUGUCCUCUGCCCCAAGAGCGAAUACCAAAAUAUCAGUUGUUAUACAAGGACUUGUAAAGCUGUAAAAUGUUGCCUUCUUUUGUUUGGAGACUUCCAAUCAAUUC